UACGGAGGGUGCAAGCGUUUGUCCGGAUUUAUUGGGUUUAAAGGGUGCGUAGGCGGCUAUUUAAGUCAGUGGUGAAAUCCUGCAGCUUAACUGUAGAACAGCCAUUGAUACUGGAUAGCUUGAGUACAGACGAGGUAGGCGGAAUUUUAUGGUGUAGCGGUGAAAUACAUAGAUACCAUAAAGAACCCCUAUUGCGAAGGCAGCUUACUAGGCUGUAACUGACGCUGAGGACGAAAAGCGUGGGGGAUCAAAACAGG
rnacentral:rRNA from 1 species